GGCAGUUCUCGGGUGACAAACCCUAAAAUCAGGCUCCCUUUUCUCUGGUUCCAGGUGCAUCACCCAAGAACCACA
rfam:Myotis lucifugus cont2.65791, whole genome shotgun sequence.